CCUUCGAUAGCUCAGUUGGUAGAGCGGAGGACUGUAGUUGUACUUCCUGGAUAUCCUUAGGUCGCUGGUUCGAAUCCGGCUCGAAGGA
rnacentral:tRNA from 1 species